UUCCAUAAUGCAGAGUGGAGGAGAAGGACACGGGCUGUUAUUUGGUAUUUACAGUAAAUCUGCAGAGAUGCAGAGGGAGAUAAUGAAGUAUUUGCCAAGAAAUGAGUUCCACUGCAGUUUAAGAAACAGUACUGGACCCAAGAACAAGGAACUAAAGAUAAAAAGACAUUGUUGUGAGUAAGACAGUCUAUCUCACUUCCAUCUUUCCUCCGAAGCACCACGAUUCAAGCAUGUCAACUAAAAACAUUUAAAAAAAAGUAAAGACUCCACAGUGGAUAUUGCCACUUUAAAGUCUACUGGCCAUGUGAUAUUUCACUCAUCUACCUAUGAAGGCAUGGAGGGGCCUGUACCAAAAUACAUAAUCCGAUUAUGGCACUGAAAGUGUGUAAGACCAUCUCUAAAGUUGCUGGGUAAGUGUUGUUGAAACAACUGAUUUAAGUGGACUAUGCUUUUCUGAGACAUAAUGAAGAAUUUACGGGGGAUAAUUUGAAGACAAUGGUUUGAUGGAUAGGUUAACUCUGCAAAUUGCUAACCCCACCUUACCUAAAGAAGGAAUUAGCUUUCAUUUUCCAUAGAAUAUUGCACAAUCAUCUCAACUACAAAACAGCUUUCCCUGAUUACAAAGUCUCAGAGAGCCCUGCCAAAUGCAUUUACAUUUUCAAAUA